GAAGGAAGUGAAGACAUCUCUGGUGAGUAGGAAACUCCCACACUCAUGAGGAAUGAGUGAAUGCGCGUCUGGGUGACUGCGGCAGAACCAAACCUUGAGAAUACUAGUCACUAUCGAGUAGACUAAUUAGUCUAUAAAACUGAGAAAAGGGCAAGGUGUGUCCUGUACGUGAGCUCCGUGAAACGUGUGCAUGUGUAAAAGUGUGAGCGGAGGUUCGCUACCUCAUUUGAACAGGAAAUUGAGUGACAACUGUUUGAGGAUGCAGAGGUAAGAAUUCUCCGCCACAUGUGGUAGAAGCUUGAGAAUUACCUCAAACGGAACGUAAUUGUCACCCUGUUCAGUGGGAAGUCAGUAUAGUCACCCUAGGUGAACCACUGACUCCAACAGCGGAAAAACAAAUAGAAAAAUAGUUGAUAAAUAGCAAAAUAGUUGAAGCACAACAUCUGAAAAAAAUAAUAAUAAUGAUGUGUAAGGACUAGAAGUUUGUAGAAAGCAAAUGUCCUACAAAAACAAAACAUCUAAAUUUGUGGAUAACACAAUAUGACUUUGCUGGCCAGCUCAACAUACACACAAAAAAUAUAUAUAGUUAAGCUGCAGGAUAAAAUAAGAGAAACACACACGCACACACAAAAAAAAAAAAAAAAAAACAACAACAACAACAAAAAGCUGGACUCAAGAUGAUGUGAAAACAGCCAUAAAAGGUAUCACAUCUCAUAAAGUUGAUGUAACAUAAUUCGUCCAGGGAACGGAAGACUUGAGAAAAUCUUACCACUUAAAUGGUGUGGAAGUACAACAAAUUUGGAUGACAGCAAAGUACUUUCUCACAGCAGCAGGGAGUUCAAGGUUUAAUAUCGCGCACUCCUGCAAGAUUUAAAAAAAAAGAAGCAAUUUUUUCUGCCAUUGUAAGACCAAAAUAAAACAACAAUGAACCAUUUGAAGAAUAUAGAAUUGGAAUAAAUGCAUGUUUUAAAGCAAACAGUGGCAUUCCUGAAGAUCACACUCCAGGGAGUGUGUAUCAAGGGCAAUUAAAAAAAAUGCUCUUCAUGUGAAUUCAAAUAAUCCUAUAAACAAUGGAUUGAAAAACAUUGGGUUGACAAACCGACUGGCAGCCUGUAACAAUACGUUAACCAAGCACUACACGCAGAGUGCUACAAAGAAAAAGAAAAUUGACACCUUUCUGACAGAGAAAGGAGAAAUUCAUGGAGCUUUAUGCAAAAUAUUUAAUAAUUGUGGCCGCAGAUGAGGAAGAGAGCAGCCAUCUCCCCAUCAAAAAUGUCACAACUAAUGCUCCCAAAAUGCAACUUUUCAAUUUGUCCCAUACGUUUUUUUGGGAAGAGACGGCUUGCUGAAACUAGGACUGCGCUUAAUUCCCUCUCUGACAGGAAAAAUAGAAGUAAAAAGAAAAAAAAAGGAAUUACUGGGAGGACAGUUAAAUAUCUUACAAAAUGGGAAUCCAGCGCUCUAUUAUUACACCUUACAUAUUCCAAACAAACCUCCCACAAGAACAGGAGAUUUCUUGCUGCAAACAGCUCAAGACGUGAUUGAACAACCACAAAAUGACGUAGGAAGUGACUCAUUGCAUGUGACAAUUUAGUCACAUUGGUAAAUAAGAUAAACUUAUAACAGCUCACACCAGACAAAAUCAUGAUUAUCUGUACUCAGAUGGUACAUCAGUCGUGGUGACAGGAACAACACUGACUGACAAACUAAAUGCACUACACAAGGAAUGGACACCACCACACACGUCAUUACAACAGGAGUGGGAGAGUUUGGGACAAUUUGUUUUGGUAGUAUGAAAUGUUCCUGAUUGGACAGAAAAAGAACCAGAUUUGGAUUGGGACGACUGAACUGUACAGACAAUAUAUUAUUGGACAGUCUUAAACAAUCUGAGACCAGAUGCUGCUGUAUUCGCGGUGGUAUCACAAUCUACACAGACAAUACUGGAAAAGUAGAGCAAUAGCGACAACUCCAGGGAACACAGUGACACAUGCAGAGCUACUACAAAAUUUGCUCAUAGCAGUUCAGUUACCAAAAGAAUUAGCCAGACGUAAAUGUGCAGUACACACAUCAAAAACAGACAAAGAAUCAUGAGGAAAUGGAUUUAUAGAUAAAACAACAAAAGAAGCAGCAGCCAAAACCUUUAUGGGAUUAGAUGACCAUGAAACAAAUAAAGACAUACUUUGAGAUGAUGUGUUAAAAAAUGCAACAAAAAAGAUGACCAGAAGAACUAAAAAUCUGGAAGAAAUAGGGUACUACAUUACAAAAUGGGAAUUAUGUCAGCACAGAUAAAAAAAAAAAUAAUAAAUUCUACCAAAAACAUUUUUUAAGUGGGAGGCAAUCUUGAGCCAUGGGAAGUCUCAGGUCUCAACAGGGGGAAUGGUAGCCCUGGUACAAAGGCAUUACAUGAUCCAUGGAUUUAACUUGCAUGCAAAAAAAACUUUUUUUGUAGGGCUUGUUUGAUCUGUGUGCGACAUAAUCCACAAGGGAAUGUGCAUCCAAAACGUGGUCAGUUUCCUCAAGCUACACAUCCAUUCAUCCCGCCAUCCAUUUUCUUAGCUGCUUAUCCUCAUAAGGGUCGCGGGGAGGGCUGGAGCCUAUUCCAGCUGUCAAUGUGCAGGAGGCAAGGUACACCCUGACCUGGUUGCCAGUCAAUUGCAGGUCACAUGGAGACAAACAGUCGCACUCACAAUCACACGUGGGGGCAAUUUGGACACAAUGAUAGAUUUAGUCUAUUACAAGCACGUAAGUGUCUCAUUCCAUUCAAAACACUGUUUGGGACACCAUACAAAUUACCAACAUUUCCACACAAUGAGAGGUAGAUGAAUGAUGAAGGAAGAAAAAAAACACACACAAGUGGUUCCCUUUCUGGAGUUAUUAACAACCCCAAACAGCUUGAAAAUUGCAAAAAGGGGUACUUGAGUUCAUUUGUUGAUUGUAGGAAAGUUAUUGCCCAUUGUUAACACACAAAAAAAAAUAAUUUGUUUUUAUUGGCCACUUGUAAAAUAGCUGUUCUCAUUCCCACUGCCAAGGUCGCUGUAGCCCGGUUACACAUGGGAGUGAGACUGCUGUCAUAAUGGUGACUAAACAGAUCCAGAGAUAAUACCAAUGCUAUUAAUUGAUAACAAAUGCAAAAAAAAAAAAAUAAAAAUAAAAAAGUUGGGGGAUUCUGUGUAUCCAUUAACUUCUCUUGAAAAACAAAAAAACUGUUUUCUAAUGGCGUGUCACUAGGAAAUUUCACAUGCAUCAAUUUGAUAGGACUAGAAACAAAUUGGCAAUUUUAUCAGCAUUGAUGUGGAAAGCCAUUUUUGUGCCAAUGUCAUGGUGGUGCGGCAGUAACUGUCUUUUUUAUUUUUUUACACCGUAUGCCUUCCCUGAUGCAACCCUUCUGCAUUUAUUCGGAGAGAGAGCUGGAGCCAAUCCCAGCUAACUUCGGGCAGCAGCAGACUACACCCCGAACAGCCAGUCGCAGUGCAGAUGUCGACACCAUCACUGAGCGGGAAUCGAUCUCACCCUGCCUUCACUCGAAAUGUCCCUCUGAUGGAAACCCGAACUACAAUGUGGCCCUCUAGAGAAAUGAGUUCGACAUCCCUGCACUAGACCAUCAAAAAAAAAAAAAAAAAAAAAUGUAACAAGUUACUGUGCUUUAAUAACCUUGUUACUGCCAUUUGUUUAUUCAUCCUGUCUGUUUGUGAAUUAACAUCUACUGUACAUGCAGUUUUAUCCGAACACUGGCAUAGACUGAGCAAGAGCUGAAUGACAUGGAGAAAAUAGCAGAAAGAAACACGUGGAUACACCUUACACACUGUAAAAGGUCAUCUCAGCUGAGUCACCCAAGGGGAAAGGUGAGCAAAGACCAGCAUACGGUGGGUGCAGAUUUAUAGUAUCUGAAAAUACCUGAAGGCUGGUGAAGAUUUAAAAGACACUUGACUCAUUUAGGGGUGACUUGGUCGACAUGACUUCAAAAUGGCUAAAUAAUAUGAUGCAUGUUGGGCUGCAACAUUGACAGCCAUAAUGAUAUUUUUGUUCAUAUGCUACUUUUGGACACCUGUAAAGCUGACAAAAAUACAUAACAACAGAACCAAUAAUUAUACUCAGUCAACUAUGCCUACCACACAUAAGAUAAAGAGGCGUAACCUCAUUUCAAAUAACUUUGGUAAACAACUAUGCGGGAGGCAUGAGGCAUGAGAGGAGGACUCCAUGUGUGCCUCCCAGUGAAUCUGUUCAGCACUUUUUCAAUUCCUUGGCAGAGUCUAAUUGCUGGGGAUUCCAUCCUUGGGCUUAUGCUAAAUGAAAAACCCCACUUUAUUCUCACCAUUUGCCAAUUUAAUGCUACCUUAAACCCGAAUGCCAUACAAAAGAGUACGUCUACUACGGCGGGAGUAUUUUAACCGAAAAAGCCUGAGGAACAUUUUUUCAUUAUUAUGAUUAUCAUUUUUACAAAUAGGAAACAAAACUGGUUGUUAUUAAUGUAGAAUGCAGCUAACAAGGUAAACUAGAGUUACAUCACAUGCAUGGGCCCUGGGCCACUAAUGCGUGUAAUUCCAACAGAAAUGCCAACACGAUGUACCCAGGAGGUAAUGACUAAAACAACUCCUAACACCACUUGUCAGAAAUGGAAAAGUGUUUAUCUAACAACUAAGGCAGUAAAUGAUAAACUGAUAUUUUCUACUAAUGUUGCAUUGGUUAAUUUCUCCUGUGUUAGCUUUACAGGGACAGAUUUUAAGGUGGGAAGUCUCAACAAAACAUGGUGUCAUGAUAUCCAUCUGCAAACUGCCCCACUGCUCCCAUGCACCAAUUUGUUGUGGUGGUGUGUUGGUCAAAAGUUGUAUGACACACUGAUAAAUGCAACAGGAACGUGUACACUGGUAUCAAUGCUCUUAUCUGUGACUGUGUUUCCAUCCAAAGCAGAGGAUAUACAAUUGGCCGCAUGCAUCUUUGGACCUCCCCUUGGGUUCUCCCGAAGGCGAAGGUCCUCUUGGAAAGAUGGAGAUCUGACAUACAUUGAUGACAUUGUGAUCCAACCGUGCUAUUGAAAAAACAUUGAACAUCCCAGGUUGAGAGCUUGAAGACCAGUCUAUUGAUGGGCCUGUGUUGUCGUGGCCACGGUCUUUCCUGGAGGUCGACUCUGAAGCUGGGAUCCUCAGGAACCCAUGGGAAGGAAUGUAAUGAUUGACUUGAUGUUUGACCACGGCACUUGCUGUUUCAGAUCUGCAGGGAUAUGCCUCAGGCCAGCCAGAGAAGGCAUCCACUAUGACAAGCAGGGUAGCACUGACUGCCGGUGACAAAUUCCUUGUGUCCGCCUGCCCGUCUGCUCCACUGCAGUGAGCAUUGAAGAUCAUGGCUUAAUGAAGCCAACAGAACCACAUCACCUGCAAAAAGCAGAUAUCCGACGCUGAGGCCACCAAACCGGACACCCUCUACACCUGCGCCUAGAGAUUCUGUCCAUAAAAGUUAUGAACAAAAUCGGUGACAAAGGGCAGCCUUGGCAGAGUCCAAUUCUCACCAGAAACGAGACCGACUUAUUGCCAGCAAUGCGGACCAAACUCUGACACCGGUCAUACAGGAACCGAACAGCCAUAUCAGGGGGUUCGGUACCCCAUACAACCAAAGAACCCCACACAGGACUCCCCAAGAGACACAGUCGAAUGCCUUCUCCAAAUCCACAAAACACAUGUAGACUGGUUGGGCAAACUCCCAUUCACCCUCGAGGAGCCUGCCGAGGUUAUAGAGCUGGUCCACUGUUCCACAGCCAAGACGAAAACCACAUUGUUCCUCCUUAAUCUGAGAUUCGAAUUCCCAACGAACCAUCCUCUCCAGCACCCCUGAAUAGACCUGACCAGGGAGUCCUUGUGUGUUGUUACAUACUUGGCCAUUAAAGCUGAUUCUAAUUCUGAUUCUGCUUGUUAAUGAGCCUUUCUUAUUGAGACUUGGGAAAACUAUGAAAGGUCUGUGUCUUCCAGAAAUAUAGCAAUUCCAGAUUUGCGUUGGGCUAUCUUGGUGAUAUCAAUGUAACGGUCAAGGAACACGGGGAUUUACAGUGAAGAAAAUAAAUAUUUGAACACCCUGCUAUAUUG